rnacentral:rRNA from 1 species
CCUACGGGGGGCAGCAGUAGGGAAUUUUCGGCAAUGGGGGGAACCCUGACCGCGCAACGCCGCGUGAACGAAGAAGUUAUUCGUAAUGUAAAGUUCUUUUAACAGGGCAGAAAGAGAAAUUUGACGGUACCUGAAGAAUAAGCUCCGGCUAACUACGUGCCAGCAGCCGCGGUAAUACGUAGGGAGCGAGCGUUAUCCGGAAUUAUUGGGCGAAAAGGGUGCGUAGAUGGCAUAGUAAGUCUUUUGUAAAAAUGCUGGGCUCAACCCAGUAGGGCAAAAGAUACUGCAAAGCUAGAGUAUGACAGAGGCAAGUGGAACUACAUGUGUAGCGGUAAAAUGCGUAAAUAGAUGUAAGAACACCAGUGGCGAAGGCGGCUUGCUGGGUCGAUACUGACAUUGAGGCACGAAAGCGUGGGGAGCAAACAGGAUUAGAUACCCGUGUAGUC